AACGUAGGACACAAGCGUUAUCCGGAGUUACUGGGCGUAAAGGGCGUGUAGGCGGAGAUGUAAGUCUAUUCUGAAAGCUCCUGGCUAAACUGGGAGAGGCGAAUGGAGACUGCAUGUCUAGAGUGAGGAAGAGGAAAGUGGAAUUCCGCGUGUAGUGGUGAAAUGCGUAGAGAUGUGGAGGAACACCGAUGGCGAAGGCAGCCUCCUGGGCCAAUACUGACGCUCAUGCACGAAAGCGUGGGGAGCAAACAGG
rnacentral:rRNA from 1 species